rnacentral:rRNA from 1 species
UAUGGGGGGGGGGUGCUAUACAUGCAAGUCGAACGCGUUGGCCCAAUUGAUUGAUGGUGCUUGCACCUGAUUGAUUUUGGUCGCCAACGAGUGGCGGACGGGUGAGUAACACGUAGGUAACCUGCCCAGAAGCGGGGGACAACAUUUGGAAACAGAUGCUAAUACCGCAUAACAGCGUUGUUCGCAUGAACAACGCUUAAAAGAUGGCUUCUCGCUAUCACUUCUGGAUGGACCUGCGGUGCAUUAGCUUGUUGGUGGGGUAACGGCCUACCAAGGCGAUGAUGCAUAGCCGAGUUGAGAGACUGAUCGGCCACAAUGGGACUGAGACACGGCCCAUACUCCUACGGGAGGCAGCAGUAGGGAAUCUUCCACAAUGGGCGCAAGCCUGAUGGAGCAACACCGCGUGAGUGAAGAAGGGUUUCGGCUCGUAAAGCUCUGUUGUUAAAGAAGAACACGUAUGAGAGUAACUGUUCAUACGUUGACGGUAUUUAACCAGAAAGUCACGGCUAACUACGUGCCAGCAGCCGCGGUAAUACGUAGGUGGCAAGCGUUAUCCGGAUUUAUUGGGCGUAAAGAGAGUGCAGGCGGUUUUCUAAGUCUGAUGUGAAAGCCUUCGGCUUAACCGGAGAAGUGCAUCGGAAACUGGAUAACUUGAGUGCAGAAGAGGGUAGUGGAACUCCAUGUGUAGCGGUGGAAUGCGUAGAUAUAUGGAAGAACACCAGUGGCGAAGGCGGCUACCUGGUCUGCAACUGACGCUGAGACUCGAAAGCAUGGGUAGCGAACAGGAUUAGAUACCCUGGUAGUCCAUGCCGUAAACGAUGAGUGCUAGGUGUUGGAGGGUUUCCGCCCUUCAGUGCCGGAGCUAACGCAUUAAGCACUCCGCCUGGGGAGUACGACCGCAAGGUUGAAACUCAAAGGAAUUGACGGGGGCCCGCACAAGCGGUGGAGCAUGUGGUUUAAUUCGAAGCUACGCGAAGAACCUUACCAGGUCUUGACAUCUUGCGCCAACCCUAGAGAUAGGGCGUUUCCUUCGGGAACGCAAUGACAGGUGGUGCAUGGUCGUCGUCAGCUCGUGUCGUGAGAUGUUGGGUUAAGUCCCGCAACGAGCGCAACCCUUGUUACUAGUUGCCAGCAUUAAGUUGGGCACUCUAGUGAGACUGCCGGUGACAAACCGGAGGAAGGUGGGGACGACGUCAGAUCAUCAUGCCCCUUAUGACCUGGGCUACACACGUGCUACAAUGGACGGUACAACGAGUCGCGAACUCGCGAGGGCAAGCAAAUCUCUUAAAACCGUUCUCAGUUCGGACUGCAGGCUGCAACUCGCCUGCACGAAGUCGGAAUCGCUAGUAAUCGCGGAUCAGCAUGCCGCGGUGAAUACGUUCCCGGGCCUUGUACACACCGCCCGUCACACCAUGAGAGUUUGUAACACCCAAAGUCGGUGGGGUAACCUUUUAGGAGCCAGCCGCCUAAGGGUGAUCAAA